UUUGCCUACGGGACGCAGCAGUGAGGAAUAUUGGUCAAUGGGCGGAAGCCUGAACCAGCCAAGUCGCGUGAGGGAAUAAGGCCCUACGGGUCGUAAACCUCUUUUGCCGGACUGAGAGUACCUGAAGAAAAAGCAUCGGCUAACUCCGUGCCAGCAGCCGCGGUAAUACGGAGGAUGCGAGCGUUAUCCGGAUUUAUUGGGUUUAAAGGGUGCGUAGGCGGAAUGCCAAGUCAGCGGUAAAAUCGCGGGGCUCAACCUCGCUCCGCCGUUGAAACUGGCGUUCUUGAGUGGGC
rnacentral:rRNA from 1 species